GACGAACGCUGGCGGCGUGCUUAACACAUGCAAGUCGAACGGAAAGGCCCUGCUUUUGUGGGGUGCUCGAGUGGCGAACGGGUGAGUAACACGUGAGUAACCUGCCCUUGACUUUGGGAUAACUUCAGGAAACUGGGGCUAAUACCGGAUAGGAGCUCCUGCUGCAUGGUGGGGGUUGGAAAGUUUCGGCGGUUGGGGAUGGACUCGCGGCUUAUCAGCUUGUUGGUGGGGUAGUGGCUUACCAAGGCUUUGACGGGUAGCCGGCCUGAGAGGGUGACCGGCCACAUUGGGACUGAGAUACGGCCCAGACUCCUACGGGAGGCAGCAGUGGGGAAUAUUGCACAAUGGGCGGAAGCCUGAUGCAGCAACGCCGCGUGCGGGAUGACGGCCUUCGGGUUGUAAACCGCUUUCGCCUGUGACGAAGCGUGGGUGACGGUAAUGGGUAAAGAAGCACCAGCUAACUACGUG
rnacentral:rRNA from 1 species